AAGAAUGCCAUGAAGGAGACCAGUAGUACAGAGGCUUUUCUUACAGAGAGCGUCCGGUUGGUGGAAGGACGCAGGAAAGACUGUAUGAAUACGCUCCGGAGCAGCAGCCUGAAGGUUUUAGUAGGGUUUGACGGGAACGCCCGAUACAGCGUGAGAGUGUUGACAGACACUCGAUGAGGAAUAUUCUGUGAAGGAUAUUCAAGUACAGAGGUGGUACCGCAUAACCUGCCCUCUGC
rnacentral:ncRNA from 1 species